CUACCCUGGAGCCACGCUCUGUGAUGGGCCCCGUCCUCGCGGACGGGCCCGAAACCCGUGGGCGCCGUCGUCCGGCCCUGAGCGUAGCAAGAGAAAUCCCUCGCUCGGAGUACCUGGCGGCCGGUCGCCCCGAACCCAUUUUCACAAG
rnacentral:misc_RNA from 1 species